UACGGAGGGUGCAAGCGUUAUCCGGAUUCACUGGGUUUAAAGGGUGCGUAGGUGGGUUGGUAAGUCAGUGGUGAAAUCUCCAGGCUUAACUUGGAAACUGCCAUUGAUACUAUCAAUCUUGAAUACCGUGGAGGUCAGCGGAAUAUGUCAUGUAGCGGUGAAAUGCUUAGAUAUGACAUAGAACACCAAUUGCGAAGGCAGCUGGCUAGACGAAUAUUGACACUGAUGCACGAAAGCGUGGGGAGCAAACAGG
rnacentral:rRNA from 1 species